rnacentral:rRNA from 1 species
UACGUAGGGGGCAAGCGUUGUCCGGAAUCAUUGGGCGUAAAGCGCGUGUAGGCGGUUCGGUAAGUCGGCUGUGAAAGUCCAGGGCUCAACCCUGGGAUGCCGGUCGAUACUGCCGGACUAGAGUUCGGGAGAGGCGAGUGGAAUUCCCGGUGUAGCGGUGAAAUGCGCAGAUAUCGGGAGGAACACCAAUGGCGAAGGCAGCUCGCUGGGACGUUACUGACGCUGAGACGCGAAAGCGUGGGGAGCAAACAGG